UACGAAGGGGGCUAGCGUUGCUCGGAAUCACUGGGCGUAAAGCGCACGUAGGCGGAUUGUUAAGUCAGGGGUGAAAUCCUGGAGCUCAACUCCAGAACUGCCUUUGAUACUGGCGAGCUUGAGUUCGGGAGAGGUGAGUGGAACUGCGAGUGUAGAGGUGAAAUUCGUAGAUAUUCGCAAGAACACCAGUGGCGAAGGCGGCUCACUGGCCCGAUACUGACGCUGAGGUGCGAA
rnacentral:rRNA from 1 species